rnacentral:rRNA from 1 species
UACGUAGGGGGCAAGCGUUGUCCGGAAUCAUUGGGCGUAAAGCGCGUGUAGGCGGCUCGAUAAGUCUGCUGUGAAAGUCCAGGCUCAACCCUGGGAUGCCGGUGGAUACUGUCGAGCUCGAGUCCGGAAGAGGCGAGUGGAAUUCCUGGUGUAGCGGUGAAAUGCGCAGAUAUCAGGAGGAACACCAUGGCGAAGGCAGCUCGCUGGGACGUGACUGACGCUGAGACGCGAAAGCGUGGGGAGCAAACAGG